rnacentral:lncRNA from 1 species
GGCUACUUGGCGUCGAGCUUGGCCAUCUCCUGCACGUAGAUGCCGAUGCUCUCGCUGUCGAAGAGCAGGAAGUACACGUUCUUCAGCGAGGACGCGCUCGAGUCAUCAAAGUGGGCUGAGAUGGCUUUGAGGGUCACCUGGGCCUGCCGCUGGGGAAAGGCGGGAACGCGACGGACUUUAGCUUCUUGUCCUCCGCCGCUGACAGGCAGUUUUUGAUGGUCUCUUCAAGCUGUUCUUCACAUUUGUCGGAGCCCCACUGAGGGAUGUGACAGUGGAUGACAAAUUUGGCUGCGAGUCCACUGGAUUGGCUGACGGCCUUCGGCGACUUCCAAAGGGCCUUGGGAUUUGCGAAGCUCCUUUACCGUUUCCAAGAACUCUUUUCCCCCAGCCUUUUCCAAGGCUUACCUAUAUCUUCUUUGAGGUCAAUUUCGGCUGUGGUUGGGUGGACAAUGCCCUCCACUCUCAUGGAGCCAAUAUGGCUGAUGUCACUCUGGGCCUUCUGUCCCAGAACAAGGCUCUUAGAAGACAGAAUGGUGAAUCCAUCCCCUGGCCCAUCUUCAGAGGUGGAAUUUGAAGUUCCUUCUUUAUCGCUGUCCUUUGGUUUGGACGGACGUCCGUGGUUUGGCAGCCUUGGAUUUCUUCCCCCCCUUCUUGCCUGACGUGGCCUUCCUGCCUCUUUUCUCUGGGGGUGGGGAGAGGAUCGUUUCCGACUUGCCUUUGGUCCCUCGCUUUUUGGCCAGCAGUUCGGGGUGAAUUCUGGGCAGGACGCCUCCACUGGCGAUGGUCACUCCUUUUAGCAGCUCCUGGUUGAGCUCCUCGUCAUUGGCAACUGCCAGCAAGAUGUGUCUCGGGGCUAUCCGGGCCUUCUUGUUGUCCCUCGCGGCAUUGCCGGCCAAUUCUAGAAUUUCCGCU